rnacentral:rRNA from 1 species
UACGUAGGUGGCAAGCGUUGUCCGGAAUUAUUGGGCGUAAAGAGCUCGUAGGCGGUUUGUCGCGUCUGCCGUGAAAGUCCGGGGCUCAACUCCGGAUCUGCGGUGGGUACGGGCAGACUAGAGUGAUGUAGGGGAGACUGGAAUUCCUGGUGUAGCGGUGAAAUGCGCAGAUAUCAGGAGGAACACCGGUGGCGAAGGCGGGUCUCUGGGCAGUAACUGACGCUGAGGAGCGAAAGCGUGGGGAGCGAACAGG